CCUACGGGAGGCAGCAGUGGGGAAUAUUGGACAAUGGGGGGAACCCUGAUCCAGCCAUGCCGCGUGUGUGAAGAAGGCCCUCGGGUUGUAAAGCACUUUCAGUGAGGAAGAACGCCUGGUGGUUAAUACCCAUCAGGAAAGACAUCACUCACAGAAGAAGCACCGGCUAACUCCGUGCCAGCAGCCGCGGUAAUACGGAGGGUGCGAGCGUUAAUCGGAAUUACUGGGCGUAAAGCGCGCGUAGGUGGCUUGAUAAGCCGGUUGUGAAAGCCCCGGGCUCAACCUGGGAACGGCAUCCGGAACUGUCAAGCUAGAGUGCAGGAGAGGAAGGUAGACUUCCCGGUGUAGCGGUGAAAUGCGUAGAGAUCGGGAGGAAUACCAGUGGCGAAGGCGGCCUUCUGGACUGACACUGACACUGAGGUGCGAAAGCGUGGGUAGCAAACAGGAGUAGAUACCCCUGUAGUC
rnacentral:rRNA from 1 species